AGUGAACGCUGGCGGUAGGCCUAACACAUGCAAGUCGAACGGCAGCACAGUAAGAGCUUGCUCUUACGGGUGGCGAGUGGCGGACGGGUGAGGAAUACAUCGGAAUCUACUUUUUCGUGGGGGAUAACGUAGGGAAACUUACGCUAAUACCGCAUACGACCUACGGGUGAAAGCAGGGGAUCUUCGGACCUUGCGCGAUUGAAUGAGCCGAUGUCGGAUUAGCUAGUUGGCGGGGUAAAGGCCCACCAAGGCUACGAUCCGUAGCUGGUCUGAGAGGAUGAUCAGCCAAACUGGAACUGAGACACGGUCCAGACGCCUACGGGAGGCAGCAGUGGGGAAUAUUGGACAAUGGGAGCAAGCCUGAUCCAGCCAUACCGCGUGGGUGAAGAAGGCCUUCGGGUUGUAAAGCCCUUUUGUUGGGAAAGAAAAGCAGAAGGUUAAUACCCCGCUGUUCUGACGGUACCCAAAGAAUAAGCACCGGCUAACUUCGUG
rnacentral:rRNA from 1 species